rnacentral:rRNA from 1 species
CCUACGGGAGGCAGCAGUAAGGAAUAUUGGACAAUGCUCGCAAGAGUGAUCCAGCCAUGCCGCGUGCAGGAAGACGGCCCUAUGGGUUGUAAACUGCUUUUGAACUAGAGAAAACCCUCCUACGUGUAGGAGGCUGAUAGUAUAGUUAGAAUAAGCAUCGGCUAACUUCGUGCCAGCAGCCGCGGUAAGACGAAGGAUGCAAGCGUUAUCCGGAUUCAUUGGGUUUAAAGGGAGCGUAGGUGGACUGAUAAGUCAGUGGUGAAAUCUCUCGGCUUAACCGAGAAAUUGCCAUUGAUACUGUUGGUCUUGAGUACAGUUGCUGUGGGCGGAAUAUGACAUGUAGUGGUGAAAUACAUAGAGAUGUCAUAGAACACCGAUUGCGAAGGCAGCUCACAAAGCUGUAACUGACACUGAGGCUCGAAAGUGCGGGGAUCAAACAGGAUUAGAUACCCUGGUAGUCCGCACCGUAAACGAUGAUUACUCGCUGCUGGGAGGUAACUUUCAGUGGCUUAGCGAAAGCGAUAAGUAAUCCACCUGGGGAGUACGCCGGCAACGGUGAAACUCAAAGGAAUUGACGG